rnacentral:tRNA from 1 species
GGACGCUUAGCUCAGCGGUUUAGAGCAUCCCGUUUACACCGGGAGGGUCGGGGGUUCGAAUCCCUCAGCGUCCA